rnacentral:rRNA from 1 species
UACGUAGGUGGCAAGCGUUGUCCGGAUUUACUGGGCGUAAAGAGCUCGCAGGCGGUCGUGCAAGUCGCGUGUGAAAGCCCCCGGCUCAACUGGGGAGGGUCACGCGAUACUGAUCGACUGGAAGGCAGGAGAGGGUAGUGGAAUUCCCGGUGUAGUGGUGAAAUGCGUAGAUAUCGGGAGGAACACCAGUGGCGAAGGCGACUCCCUGGCCUGAUCUUGACGCUGAGGCGCGAAAGCAUGGGGAGCAAACAGG